rnacentral:rRNA from 1 species
ACUUUUGCCGGCGAGCGGCGGACGGGUGAGUAAUGCCUGGGAAAUUGCCCAGUCGAGGGGGAUAACAGUUGGAAACGACUGCUAAUACCGCAUACGCCCUACGGGGGAAAGCAGGGGACCUUCGGGCCUUGCGCGAUUGGAUAUGCCCAGGUGGGAUUAGCUAGUUGGUGAGGUAAUGGCUCACCAAGGCGACGAUCCCUAGCUGGUCUGAGAGGAUGAUCAGCCACACUGGAACUGAGACACGGUCCAGACUCCUACGGGAGGCAGCAGUGGGGAAUAUUGCACAAUGGGGGAAACCCUGAUGCAGCCAUGCCGCGUGUGUGAAGAAGGCCUUCGGGUUGUAAAGCACUUUCAGCGAGGAGGAAAGGUCAGUAGCUAAUACCUGCUGACUGUGACGUUACUCGCAGAAGAAGCACCGGCUAACUCCGUGCCAGCAGCCGCGGUAAU